AUGCUCGCUUCAGCAGUACAUACACUAAAAUUAGAACAAUACAGAGAAGAUUAGCAUGGUCUCUGUGUAAGAAUGACACACAAAUUCAUGAAGCAUUACCCAUUAAA
ensembl:snRNA U6 U6 spliceosomal RNA